CUCUCCAAGAGCCACACACACACAGAGGGUGGGAUGAAGCAGCACGUGACCAUAUCAAUGAGCACUCCGAAGUGCAGCCGGUGGUUACACACCAAUGAAAGAGCAGGGUUUCCCUCGUAUCUGGCACCGGGCAGGGCCUCACGUCGCUGCACACGAGGGACUCUAAAUACAGGCUUCAGCGGUGAGGCGCUGAGGAGCCAGAGCACAGCAGAGGCAGCAGUUUAAAGGGUGGCAGUGACUCCUGCUGCUUCCAAAGAGUCUUGAAACCUUCGGGAAAGGGGCCGCGGCCAUGUCCGUUACUGGCAACUCCAAAGGGGUUUGCCUCCUUCUCCGACAAUGGAGACCGCUACCUCGCUCGCUAAAGUCCUGGGCGCCGAUUGGCCAAAAUCCGAGACGGGGAGGAUUUCCAGCUUCUUAUUGGCAGAGUGGAGCGCGAGGCUGUAGCCACAACCGCCCCUCUGGGAGCCUGGCGGAAUUGAGUGCCAAAUGCUGCCGGCGGGAGAGCUCACAACCGCUGUCCAUCCUUGAGCGUCGUUCUCCGGCGGUUACUGAGCCAGAGGUCUCAGUCAGGGACGAGGGCACGGCUUUCAGCUCGAUUCAUUUUCCCACGGAAUUAUCCUGGAAAGAUCGACAGGGCCUUCCGCCCCCCGCCUUUCUUUUUAAAAUAAGCCCUUUGCAGAGCAGAGCGCCUGUGUCUCCGACUUCUAACUACCCUCCUUGUUGCUGGGAACAAAUGCCUUAGAGACACCUCGACGCUCAGAGACCUUGGAGGGAGUCCCUGGGGAUCAGUACUGUUCCAAUCAAAGCUGGAGAAUCUAAGGCAAUCCUGCAGUUUUCUCCUCAGCUUAACUGAACUCUAAGGGGAAAAACAAGUUUAAAAAAAAAAAAUUUUUUUUUUUCUAGAUAGAGACAUCGCCUGGGAGACCUCUCUUGGGAAAACAAAGCAAGCUGUGUCAGUAUUUACUUCUCUCUUCCCAGAGAUCUAAGGCUGGAGAGUUAGGGUUUUGUUUUUUGGUUUUGUGUCUGUUUAUAAAAUUGAAGGACAGUCAUGGCUGGCCCUGGGAAGUAAGAGCCCCUUUUCCCUAUGAAUGAAUUUAAUUAUGUAAUUUAAAUCUCUCUUUCUUUGCAGCUGGACAAGAAGGUGCCAUUUCGGUGCCUACCCUUGUAUGUUUGAACUGUUUUAUCUGUGUCUAGAACUGGUAGACUGGAAUCUUAAAAUAAAACUGAUGGAAUUGUGUCA